rnacentral:rRNA from 1 species
AGCGAACGCUGGCGGUAGGCCUAACACAUGCAAGUCGAACGGCAGCACAGUAAGAGCUUGCUCUCACGGGUGGCGAGUGGCGGACGGGAGCGGUAUACAGCGGAAUCUACAUUUUCGUGGGGGAUAACGUAGGGAAACUUACGCUAAUACCGCAUACGACCUACGGGUGAAAGCAGGGGAUCUUUGGACCUCGCGCGAUUGAAUGAGCCGAUGUCGGAUUAGCUAGUUUGCGGGGUAAAGGCCCACCAAGGCGACGAUCCUUAGCUGGUCUGAGAGGAUGAUCAGCCACACUGGAACUGAGACACGGUCCCGACUCCUGCGGGGGGCAGCAGUGGGGAAUAUUGGGCGAUGGGGGCAAGCCUGAUCCAGCCAUACCGCGUGGGUGAAGAAGGCGUUCGGGUUGUAAAGCCAUUAUGGUGGUAGAAAAAGGCAGCAGGUUAGUACGCCGCGGUUCUGACGGUACCCGAAGAAGAAGCACCGGCUAACUUCGUG